UCCACUUCAGAGAACACGCCGCAUAAUUGUAUAAAGUCUGCAGUAAGCCUCGAUUUUGGACUGUAUGCUGUAGUGGUGAAAACAACAGGACCUACUUUUGUCAUUCUAUCUAUUUGGAUUUAAAAUUGUGAAAGCCAUGACAAAGGUGACUGCGUUGUUUACCAUAGGCCUCGUCCUCAUAUACCACGCGUCUGAGACAUGUGCCCUCAAACGACGCCCAGAAUGCUGUCAGCAUUGCAAAGCCGAGGAAAUUUGUAAAAUUGAUCACGACAAAUGUGUUUGUCACCCUCGUCAUGGUGAACAUAACGCUCAUUGGAAGAAAAAGAUUCGUCUUCACAGAGGUGGGCAUAUUAUCGACAAAAGAUACGUUUACUGAUUGGCUUCGACAGAUGUCCACAGCAUUGAGAAAUGUCCCUAAAACUUAUUUAAAUGAGAGGACAUUGCAUGCCUAAAGUGCUGCAUUUGAUUAUGCCAUUUAAAAAAAUGUUUGUUGAUGAAGGUGUGAAAGGAUUAAAAAUAUGGUCCUUAAGGAAUUCUUGCAAAACAUGUCUGUUAUCUGUCUGUCUUGCUGUAUAAUGUAAAUGAGCUAUUUUAAAACCGUAUGUUUUAAGUAUAUGAUUCUGAAUAAAUGUUCUGCUUUU